UGGGGAAUAUUGCACAAUGGAGGGAACUCUGAUGCAGCGACGCCGCGUGAGUGAUGAAGGAAUUCGUUUCGUAAAACUCUGUUCUAUGGGAAGAAAAGGACUGUACCAUAGGAGAAAGCUCCGGCUAAAUACGUGCCAGCAGCCGCGGUAAUACGUAUGGAGCGAGCGUUGUCCGGAAUUAUUGGGCGUAAAGGGUGCGCAGGCGGCUUUACAAGUUGGAUGUGAAAUAUUGUGGCUCAACCACAAACGUGCAUCCAAAACUGCAAAGCUUGAGUUAAGGAGAGGUAAGUGGAAUUCCUGGUGUAGCGGUGGAAUGCGUAGAUAUCAGGAGGAAUACCGGUGGCGUAGGCGACUUACUGGACUUAAACUGACGCUCAGGCACGAAAGCGUGGGGAGCAAACAGG
rnacentral:rRNA from 1 species